UAUUGACAACCUUGUCAGUGGAAAGCCAACGGCCUUUUCCCGCUCUCAUCUAUCUCCUUCGUAUUGACCAUGAUCAUGCCCAUGGAUUAUUCCCUUCAUGAUGGAUCUCUACAGCUCAUCUGAAAGCUUGAUGUCGACCCUCAUUUCUGACUAUUGAUUCUCUCCUGAACCAUCUGCUAAGUAUACCUCCAUCUGCCUUCUUGUGAAUGACCAUUGCCUGUUUAUGGAUAAUGCCUUUGGAUUUUGGACUAUGGAUUUGAUUGUGGAGUUGUUCAGUGUCUGAUGCCCAAUUGCUAGACACACAGACUGAAGAGGAGUGCUGAGAGGAUCCUCAGCCUAGUUCAAGCUCACACUUCCUCAUCUGCAUUCAAGUCACCAACCUGGGAGCUAGCAGUGACUAUCUGGUUCCAGAAGCUUCUGGUUUAAUACCAGUACAUAACUAGCAAAUGUAACUUAACACUUUAAAAAGCAGAAAAUUGCAUUUUUAUUUUUUAAUGAGAAAUUGACAACUUUGUCACAAAUGAGAUUCCAGGCAGAAGUUUACAUACACUUCUGGUUGAUUAGUGAUGCAUAUUCUUUUUCCAGGGUGGAAUAAUGAUGCAACAAAUAACUAAUGAUUUUUAAAGACUUUUAAAAAAAUUAUAUUUUUUUUCCUUUCCUAAAGCAAUUUUGACUAAUGUUUUGGGGUCAUUGCCUUGUUUCAACUGUGUCCACAUUUUAACCAAGGAGUUGUUGUUGUGAGGUAAAGUUUGAUAAUUUGGGAGUAGUGCUCACUUUUCAUUUUUCAUCCACAUAGUUUGUUUGGAAUCCUGGCCCAACAAUUUCCUGCGGAUCAAUAAAGUUCUUACUUAAUUUGCUGCUAAAAUACUAUUUAGCAAAACAUUAUGCUGCUACCACCAGCAUGCUUGGCAGAUGGUACAGUGUCAUUUGGUUCGAAAACCUCACCUUUGAUUCCUUCCAAUAUACAGUACUUUGUCUUUGUGGCCAAAAGCUCAAUCUUUGUCUUCUCUGGACACAAACCUUUUAUGCUUGUCCAUGUGGGAAGCUGUAAAUGUCAUUCAUGCUUGGUAUCAAUAUUAAAGUACCCUCCCAAUUUAUGCUGGAGCUAGACUUACUACUUUGUGGUUGUACCAGGGUUGUUCUUUAACGGGCAUCUCCUUUUAUCGGAGAGUGACAGUUUGGGUCAGAUGGUUAAAGCAUGGAUACAACUGGGUGUUCCAGCAGGAUGGUGAUCCCAAACACACAUUAAAAUCUGGUUUAGAAUGGAUAAAGCUGUCAUGUCAUGGAGCUCAGCACAGGUUUGUAUGGUUUGCUGGUGUGUUUUCCCUUUCUCUCACCUGCAGGGUGCGACAGACAGGAGCAGCUUCACAGCUGCUCUCCAUCAGAUCUCAUCAAGGACAGAGUUCAUAAGCAGCUGGAACCUGGAAGGAAGCGUCAGAUUGUUUACUCGCCCAGAGUGAGCGGAUCAGACCCUGAAGACCCAGCCAUGGAUCACUCCUGUCUGAUGUCCCGUGUCCACGUCCUCUGUUGGUUAAGGCACUUAACUGUGUUUCCACCAUCGAGAGCCUCCUCCAGCUUCCCAGAACCUGCCUGCUUAAGAAAGUCCCCAACCGCUCUCUUGGAUCUCCUGCCUUGUGCCUCCCUGCCUGUCCACCCUCCAACAUCUCGAACCACCAUCUGGGGUACCUAACAGUUACCAACGUAACCUGACUACCACUCCUGUCAACCUCAGCCUCCGUGACAUUACUCACCACCUCCAGAAACACUACUGCAGCCUACAACAUGAACCGGCCCGAAGAAACCGAGCUCCUGGACCAUCCAGUUGAAAUCUGUUUAACAAUAAACCUGUUUAACCAUA